rnacentral:lncRNA from 1 species
CAGAAAGUGGCUAGUCUCGCAAAGAGUACAUGUGUUUCAAGGAUAGCAAGAAAAGAAGGUUUGUGUUUUCUAAUCAACUCUUUCAUGUGUCUUUUAGCAUUGUUGUUAAGUGCCCCUCUUAUAUUCCAAGAGAGGAUAGUGGUAUCUACAAGGGCUUCCAUAACAACAACUAAUGAAAAAGGGAAGGGGAGGGAUGCUACGUGACCAUGUCCUCUUCACUUGAAAGAGG